UGUCGUGAGAUGUUCGGGUUAAGUCCCGUAACGAGCGCAACCCUGUCCUUAGUUACCAGCACGUUAUGGUGGGCACUCUAAGGAGACUGCCGGUGACAAACCGGAGGAAGGUGGGGAUGACGUCAAGUCAUCAUGGCCCUUACGGCCUGGGCUACACACGUGCUACAAUGGUCGGUACAAAGGGUUGCCAAGCCGCGAGGUGGAGCUAAUCCCAUAAAACCGAUCGUAGUCCGGAUCGCAGUCUGCAACUCGACUGCGUGAAGUCGGAAUCGCUAGUAAUCGUGAAUCAGAAUGUCACGGUGAAUACGUUCCCGGGCCUU
rnacentral:rRNA from 1 species